rnacentral:rRNA from 1 species
GAUAUUGCGCACUGGUGGGAACUCUGACGCAGAGACGCUGCGUGUGCGAUGAUGGUCUUCGGAUCGUAAAGCUCUGUCUUUUUGGAUGAUGGUCCUCGCUCUUGACGGUACCUAAGGAGGAAGCAUCGGCUACCUACGUGCCUGCAGCCGCGGUAAUACGUAGGGGGCAAGCGUUGUUCGGAAUUAGUGGGCGUAAAGGGUGCGUAGGCGGCCUGUUAAGUCAGAGGGGAAAGCCCACGGCUUAAACGUGGAACUGCAUUUGAAACUGGAGGGCUUGAGUAUCGGAGAGGGUAGUGGAAUUCCCAGUGUAACGGUGGAAUGCGUAGAUAUUGGGAGGAACACCAGUGGCGAAGGCGACUACCUGGACGAAAACUGACGCUGAGGCACGAAAGCUAGGGGAGCAAAC